rnacentral:rRNA from 1 species
AUGGAAGCCGCAGCAGCAGCAGCCUUGCUAGCUGCAUAUGCUGCGUCCAUCGCCCGGCUCCUGCAAGCGAGAGGCCGGCCGGCCAGUGUGGCAGCGGCAGGGGUGGUGGUGAUGAUGGAGGUAGCGGCGAUGGAAAAUGAAGUUGCAUCAAAAGUGGAUCCCUCCCAGCGAGCCCGGCAGCGAGCUCAGAUGUGCAUUGUUAUUGUUACCACUCAGUACUCGCUCGCUCACCAGUCGCCUGUACGUGUAUUUACUCCCCUCCUCCCUCCCUCUCUCUCUCUCUCGACAUGUUGGCUCUCUGGUUUUCUUUGCUUGCUGUGUGUGCGUGUGUGGCGUGGAAGUCACGGGCCUGCGUCGAGAGGUGCAAGUCACCAGGCACAGCGCAGGGAAAGUAUCUUUGGCUGUUUCGCAACUAGACAUGUGUACAUGUCUGCGGCGUGCAGGGCUGUGCAUUUGCAUGGGGUGAGUGAGAGAGAGGAAGAAGAGGGAGAAGAACAAUUUGGUCACUAA